rnacentral:rRNA from 1 species
CCUACGGGAGGCAGCAGUGAGGAAUAUUGGUCAAUGGACGCAAGUCUGAACCAGCCAUGCCGCGUGCAGGAAGACGGCUCUAUGAGUUGUAAACUGCUUUUGUACGAGGGUAAACUCAGAUACGCGUAUCUGUCUGAAAGUAUCGUACGAAUAAGGAUCGGCUAACUCCGUGCCAGCAGCCGCGGUAAUACGGAGGAUUCAAGCGUUACCCGGAUUUAUUGGGUUUAAAGGGUGCGUAGGCGGUCGGAUAAGUUAGAGGUGAAAUCCCGAGGCUCAACUUCGGAAUUGCCUCCGAUACUGUUAGGCUAGAGAGUAGUUGCGGUAGGCGGAAUGUAUGGUGUAGCGGUGAAAUGCUUAGAGAUCAUACAGAACACCGAUUGCGAAGGCAGCUUACCAAGCUACUUCUGACGUUGAGGCACGAAAGCGUGGGGAGCAAACAGGAUUAGAUACCCCAGUAGUC